UACGGGGGGAGCAAGCGUUGUUCGGAUUUACUGGGCGUAAAGGGCGCGUAGGCGGUCAGCCAAAGUCAGUUGUGAAAUCUCCGGGCUUAACUCGGAAAGGUCAACUGAUACUGUGCGACUAGAGUGCGGAAGGGGCAACUGGAAUUCUCGGUGUAGCGGUGAAAUGCGUAGAUAUCGAGAGGAACACCGGCGGCGAAGGCGGGUUGCUGGGCCGACACUGACGCUGAUGCGCGAAAGCCAGGGGAGCGAACGGG
rnacentral:rRNA from 1 species